CUUUCGGUUUUUCGUUACCAAAAAGUCCUCCCAAUGCGACGUCGUUGUCACUUCAUUUACACACCAAAAAAAAUAAGGCCAAAUUGAAUAUUUUAAAUUCAAAGCAAGAUAAUUUGUGUUGUUGAUAGCGAAUGCGAACCUUAUUCACGCCGAGACCAUGACUAAUCAAAAUGCUGACGCUCCCCAGGUAGAAGUGGGUCGUCAGCCACCUGCACCACCUGGGGCGAAUGAUCAAGCACAGUUGCAUUCUGGGAAUAAGGUUUACAAGAGUGGCCCUCUAUUUUUAUCAUCAAAAGGAAUUGGUUGGACAUCAUGGAAGAAGAGGUGGUUCACUCUAACAGAAAACUCGCUGGUCUUUUAUAGAAGUGAUCCA